GAGGCUGUAGCUCAGUGGUAGAGUGCGUGCUUAGCAUGCAUGAGGUCCUGGGUUCAAUCCCCAGUCCCUCCA
rnacentral:tRNA from 1 species